rnacentral:sRNA from 1 species
CAGUUUUCAGAGAAACUUGAUACAAACGUACAAGCAAUCUACCAACACAAUUAAUCAUGUUUUAACCUGUAAAAAUCUCCCAAAACAAUGACAUUACAAUCUACCAACACAAUUAAUCAUGUUUUAACUUGUAAAAAUCUCCCAAAACAAUGACACAACUUUUAUGUAUUGUUUAAAUAUAAAGACGGCAGUUUCAGGCUUAGAAAGUAAUCGAACAAAAAAAAGAGAAAGCGAGCUCUUUAGCUGUUAAGCAGAACACCGCACUUGAGUCCCACAUCGACCGUGUCCAAAAUAGUAUAGCUGGUCAAAUACCCGAACAAAGGAUAGUAGUUCACGACCUUACUUGAACAGGAUCUGUUCUAUAAAAUUGUACCUCUGUAUCCUUGAUUUCUAAGGAGACAGGAAUCCCAACUCGGUAGAUGAAUAAUGACCGUGCAAUCAGAGCGUGAUUUCCAUCAGCGGUAGACGAUCAUUCUCAGCCAGUUUCUCUGUAUGGGUUGGUUGCACGGUAGUCUGACAAGUU